GAUGAACGCUGACAGAAUGCUUAACACAUCAGCGAUUGAUUGGUGGCGGACGGGGGCGUAACGCGUAAAGAACUUGCCUCACAGGUAGGGACAACAUUUGGAAACGAAUCCUAAGACAUAAUACUGUGUGAGAGCUUUGCGUGCCAUUAGCUAGUUGGAGAGGUAUCGGCUCACGAAGGCGAUGAUGGGUAGCCGGCCUGGGAGGGUGAUCGGCCCCAAGGUCACUGGGGAACGACCAUUACGGAAACGGGAGGCAGGGGUGCAGAACAGUGGACACUGGGCCAAAGUCUGAUGCAGCAAUUCUGUGUGUACGAUGAAGUUUGCUGAAUGAAAAGUGCGUUCAGUUGGGAAGCGGUACCAACAGAAGAAGUGACGGCUAAAUACGUGCCAGCAGCCGCGGUAAUUC
rnacentral:rRNA from 1 species